rnacentral:rRNA from 1 species
GCCUACGGGAGGCAGCAGUAGGGAAUCUUCCACAAUGGGCGAAAGCCUGAUGGAGCAACGCCGCGUGGGUGAAGAAGGUCUUCGGAUCGUAAAACCCUGUUGUUAGAGAAGAAAGUGCGUGAGAGUAACUGUUCACGUUUCGACGGUAUCUAACCAGAAAGCCACGGCUAACUACGUGCCAGCAGCUGCGGUAAUGCGUAGGUGGCAAGCGUUAUCCGGAUUUAUUGGGCGUAAAGGGAACGCAGGCGGUCUUUUAAGUCUGAUGUGAAAGCCUUCGGCUUAACCGGAGUAGUGCAUUGGAAACU